CUCACAGAGUCCGGGGCUGCCCGUCGUCUUCCAUCAUGCCCGCUCCGGACACUGCGCUCCAACCAGGAGGAGCAGGAGGAGGAGGAGGAUGAACAAAAUGGCCGCCGCCACCAGCCAGGCAGGAAACGGGGCAGAGCGCAGGCGCGGCCCGCCAGGUCACAGCUCAGGCCAGCCGCGACGGCCUGUAAAAGGGAUAACUAAGUGAGGAGAAAAACAGGCCGCCGAGGAAACCGUGUGUCCGGUCACGAGGGAUCACGUCGUCGCUGUGCGCCCCCUGGCCGGCCGAAGCCUGGCCAACUCAAGAAGAGAGUGAGAGGAGAACACCGUGAAACCGAAGUCUCUGGGAAUUGUGGUCCUGGAAAUGAGAGAGGGAAGCGCUUCAAAGUGCUUCUGGGAACUGUAGUCCAAAGGAGACACGCGCUGGGACGCGAAGAAGAGACUUCUGGGUACGGUAGUACGUGAGGCCAUGCGGCGACCAGGAAGUCGGGGUGCUGGGACGGGAUGGGAGAAUAAAAGCGACGUUAAAAGGCUGGGAAACGAAGUGGGGGGCGAAAACGCUGUCCCAGACAUAAACUACAAAUCCCAGAGUGCCUUGCGCUGGGGGCUGUCCGAGGACUGCUCCAGGCAUUUUAAGGCUCUUCUGUUGGCUCAGCCUGAGCUGCUGCUCCGCCUCCGUCCAGCCCGAGAGCGGUUUCUUCAACUGCGGCUGAGGCAGCUCUCUGGCUCCGCAUGGUGUCCGGGCCGGCAGGUCUCUCCGGCCCUGUGUUAGAACGGCGGGCCCGCCGACACCAACCGCCGCCCCGCGCGAAGGGCCGGAGUAGCCCAGGCAGGCCUUCGGGCGCGUUUCUCCGCAAAUGAGAAGACUGAGGCUGGUGAGAUUGAAAUAUGCCAAAGGUCACUGCUAAUAAGGGCCCCAGGCUGACUCCAAAGCCCUUGCUAUACUUCAUAUUAACAUUAUUAAUCUAUAACAAUAGAUGAUUGUACUGUAUAAUAAACAGCGUGUUGUAGAUUAUGAUGAGAAUUAUUUGAAGUUGAUGUCACCUCUAUAGGAAGGGUUCUGUUUAACAUUCUGGAGUCCCAGCUAGUGAGCCAGCAGAGGGAGCUCUGUCCCUAAGGACCAGGACAGCCGCUCACCCUGUAGGGAAUAAGGCUAACAAUUCGGAUCAAAAGGACUGGCUCAGUGACUGAGUGUUGACCUAUAAACCAGGAGGUCACAGAUUCCCGUGGGAGGGGAGGGAGGCUCGAUUCCCAGUGGGGGACGUGUAGGGGCACCCGAUCAGUGAUUCAUCAUUAAUUGAUGUUUCUCUCUC